rnacentral:ncRNA from 1 species
CCGGCACAACGGCUUCCUGGCGUGUCGGAUGCAUCAAUGGAGCG